rnacentral:rRNA from 1 species
AUUGAACGCUGGCGGCAGGCCUAACACAUGCAAGUCGAACGAGUGGCGGACGGGUGAGUAAUGUCUGGGAAACUGCCCGAUGGAGGGGGAUAACUACUGGAAACGGUAGCUAAUCCCGCAUACCAUCGGAUGUGCCCAGAUGGGAUUAGCUAGUAGGUGGGGUAACGGCUCACCUAGGCGACGAUCCCUAGCUGUUCUGAGAGGAUGACCAGCCAAACUGGAACUGAGACACGGUCCAGACUCCGACGGGAGGCAGCAGUGGGGAAUAUGGCACAAGGGGCGAAAGCCUGAUGCAGCCAUGCCGCGUGUAUGAAGAAGGCCGUCGGGUUGUAAAGUACUUUCAGCGAGGAGGCGGUACUCGCAGAAGAAGCACCGGCUAACUCCGUGCCAGCAGCCGCGGUAAUAC